GAUGAACGCUGGCGGCGUGCCUAAUACAUGCAAGUCGAGCGAACAGACGAGGAGCUUGCUCCUCUGACGUUAGCGGCGGACGGGUGAGUAACACGUGGAUAACCUACCUAUAAGACUGGGAUAACUUCGGGAAACCGGAGCUAAUACCGGAUAAUAUAUUGAACCGCAUGGUUCAAUAGUGAAAGACGGUUUUGCUGUCACUUAUAGAUGGAUCCGGGCUGCAUUAGCUAGUUGGUAAGGUAACGGCUUACCAAGGCAACGAUGCGUAGCCGACCGGAGAGGUUGAUCGCCCACACUGGACCUGAGACACGCCCCAGACCCCAACGGGAGGCAGAAUUAGGAAAUCUGCAGAAAGGGGCGAAACCCUGACCGACCAACCCCGCUGGAUUGAGGAAGCUCUGCGGAUCUUAAAACCCUUUUAUUAGGGAAGAACAAAUCUGUAAGUAACCAUGCUCGUCUGACCGUAACCUAAGCAUAAAGCCCCGCCAACCUCCUG
rnacentral:rRNA from 1 species